AGAACACUUAAUUCUGAGCUGAACUUGCAGCAGAAGCUGUUGAGUUUCUGUUCAAUCCAUUUCCAAUAUGAGUACCCAUAUUACCAUGGUCUCUUUGGAGUGUGUGUGAAGAAUCCACUAUAUUAGUAACUGCUGAAACAGAGCCAGCUCUACUAUUUUCUCGAGUUUCCAGAUGUUCCAUCAGGUGAGAUAGACUAGCAAUUCCAACAUUUGACUCUCUCCUAACAGGACCAGCAUCCGGCAUUGAAGAACUUCGAGAAAACAAUCUCUCCUUCCACUCUCGUGUAUUCUUUGAGAUCGAUUCUUUAUAUUUCAUUGACAUAGAACUAAAUCGAGAUCUCCAGGACUCUGAAAAUGACUGCAACUCUGAUGGUCCAGCUCUCCUAUGGAUUGGUGUAAAGGAUGAACUAGAAGAGCUUCUAUCACCACUAGAUAGUCCUUGUGCUGUGGCAGGCGUUAGAACGGAACCAGAUGAUAAAGCAGAAAGUUGAUCACUUUGAACUGAAGGAAGGUAAGGCAUCUGUCGUGGUGAAUCACUGCUACCGGAGCUAAUGGGAAGAGGGGAAUCAACUGUUGUGAUUGCAGCAGGAUCAGAAAGUGAUCCAGUAGGAUAAGGUGAAACAGAAGCGGUAGGAGAUGAAUUAUGAUGAGUUGGAAAUACUAAAAGUUGUGGACGGUUAUUGGUGGAUGAACGAUUUCUUGAGCCCUCCAUUCGACCCGCAUGGUGAGCUCUUCCCAUUGAAGCAGCAACAGCCAAAUGCUGAAGAAUGCGCUCUUCAAGUUCAGGAUCAUCAAUAUCCACAGGUAACUGGAGUGCCAUGAAUGAAGAAUAAAUAGAGGUAAACAGAACAUGCUAGCUUGUGAAACUCAGAAAUCAGAUGAAAAAAGAAAAUGCUUAUCCUUUAAGGCAGCCACACACAUGCUGUAGUUCAAAAUCUCCCAGUGCAGGAAACUGAAAUACUGUAGCAUUUCUUUCUGCAUUAACUCUAAAAUUCCUUUCUUGUUCCACAGCCUCAAACAAUUCUUGACUCAUCUGAUCUUUCAGACUUAUGGACUGCCAACACAUAGGACAAUUAGAACUUCUCUGACACCAUUCCAGGACGCACUGGAGAUGAAACUCAUGCUUGCAGCUAGUUACCGAGGGAGGAUCGCUUUCGCAGAAAGCCUCGAGACAAAUGCUGCAAGCAUCAUCACAUGCAUCCUGAAUUCCUCCUUCCACAA
rnacentral:misc_RNA from 1 species